GACGAACGCUGGCGGCGUGCUUAACACAUGCAAGUAGGACGCAGUUGCGAACGGGUGAGUAACGCGUAGGUAACUACCUAUUAGAGGGGGAUAACUAUUGGAAACGAAAGCUAAAACCGAUUACUAGUAGGUGGACCGGGGUUGUAUUGGCUAGUAGGUAGGGUAAUGGCCUACCUAGGCAAGGAUACAUAGCCGACCUGAGAGGGUGAUCGGCCACACUGGGACUGAGACACGGCCCAGACUCCGACGGGAGGCAGCAGUAGGGAAUCUUCGGCAAUGGGGGGAACCCUGACCGAGCAACGCCGCGUGAGUGAAGAAGGUUUUCGGAUCGUAAAGCUCUGUUGUUAAGGAAGCGGUACUUAACCAGAAAGGGACGGCUAACUACGUGCCAGCAGCCGCGGUAAUUC
rnacentral:rRNA from 1 species